GGAUGAACGCUGGCGGCGUGCCUAAUGCAUGCAAGUCGAGCGAACAGAUGAGGAGCUUGCUCCUCUGACGUUAGCGGCGGACGGGUGAGUAACACGUGGAUAACCUACCUAUAAGACUGGGAUAACUUCGGGAAACCGGAGCUAAUACCGGAUAAUAUAUUGAACCGCAUGGUUCAAUAGUGAAAGACGGUUUUGCUGUCACUUAUAGAUGGAUCCGCGCCGCAUUAGCUAGUUGGUAAGGUAACGGCUUACCAAGGCAACGAUGCGUAGCCGACCUGAGAGGGUGAUCGGCCACACUGGAACUGAGACACGGUCCAGACUCCUACGGGAGGCAGCAGUAGGGAAUCUUCCGCAAUGGGCGAAAGCCUGACGGAGCAACGCCGCGUGAGUGAUGAAGGUCUUCGGAUCGUAAAACUCUGUUAUUAGGGAAGAACAAAUGUGUAAGUAACUAUGCACGUCUUGACGGUACCUAAUCAGAAAGCCACGGCUAACUACGUG
rnacentral:rRNA from 1 species